GGCCUCGUGGCUUAGUCGGGAAAACACCUGACUAUGGUGCGGUAGGAUUCGAGUUCGAGCCCCGGUGAAGGCCA